GAUGAAGAACGCAGCGAAAUGCGAUAAGUAGUGUGAAUUGCAGAAUUCAGUGAAUCAUCGAAUCUUUGAACGCACAUUGCGCCCCUUGGUAUUCCAUGGGGCAUGCCUGUUCGAGCGUCAUUUGUACCUUCAAGUUUUGCUUGGUGUUGGGUGUUUGUCUCGCCUUUGCGUGUAGACUCGCCUUAAAAUAAUUGGCAGCCGGCGUAUUGAUUUCGGAGCGCAGUACAUCUCGCGCUUUGCACUCAUAACGACAGCGUCCAAAAGUACAUUUUACACUCUUGACCUCGGAUCAGGUAGGGAUACCCGCUGAACUUAAGCAUAUCAAUAAGCGGAGGA
rnacentral:misc_RNA from 1 species